rnacentral:tRNA from 1 species
AGUAAAGUCAGCUAAACAAGCUCUUAGGCCCAUACCCUAAACAUGUAGAUCAAACAUCUACCUUUAUUA